GCCUCCACGGGCGGAGGGGGCAUUCACUGAGUUGCCUUUGUAUGCUGGGAGGACCAAGCGGAGGUUCCCACUAUGCAGCCCGGAGUCUGUGCAACCAGAUGACGCAUGAGGGGAUAAUUUAAGGAUACCGAUUGGCUCUGGUGGUGGAAUGUCAUCUUCGGCAUGUGGCACGUGGGAUGGGAUGGCAAAGUAGGGACCGAGAAUCUCCAUCCAAAGCAAACUGAGGACAUUUUCGCAGGAUAUUUUCAAUGAGAAAUAUGGAAGAUUUCUAAGCUACUAAAAUUGAAUCUCAGCAUAUUUGAGAAAUGGCAUUAGAGAGGAAAAAAAAAAAAAAAACAACAAACCUACCAUCAACAGACAACGUACACAUUUGGAAACAAGAAGAUGAGAAGGAGAGCAGAAGCAACGUAUUUCUGCCUGCUGAAACCUCAGUGUUUUUACUAAACCAAGUCAUCAGUAUCUCUUUUAACAACCAUCCGAAAAUAUGCACAUUGGAUAUUGGCAGGACCUGUGUGGAAGCCUGGGGACCUCUGUGGCCUCAUGUGCUUUGAGCUUCUGCAGGCCACUUUUUAACAGAAUGACCAGAUACAGUGUCUGGGAGCCCUUCACCUGUCUGCAGUGGGCAGCUGAGUGCCCUCCAGAAGAUGGAAGUGGAUUCAUGACAUAUCUCUUCUGAUCUUGUAGGGUCUUUUGCUGUGAAUUUUGGCUUCUUGAGAAGCCAGCUCACACAUUGCCUCCGGUGGCUGCCCUCCUGUCUCUCUAUGCUUGGUUCCAUUUAUUGACAGUUUCUUGUUUAUUCUCCAAAGCAUCACUGACAGAAGGCAGCUAUAUGGAACAGAUUUUUACUAAAAGUUUAGGGAUGACUACAGGAUUAUAGCACAGAACAGGAAGCGACCUAAAACGGAAACUGGAUUAUUAGAAGUCUUAAAGACUGCCAGCCUUUAUUUCCCACAAGGGAAAUCUUCCCUUGCCGUGUGUAUUUAGGUCCUACUUAUGCACUUACGGACAUGUUUCAUUUGACCACGGCUCCAAAAUUCCCAUUUAUUUAUG